rnacentral:rRNA from 1 species
UACGGAAGGCAGCAGUGGGGAAUAUUGCACAAUGGGCGAAAGCCUGAUGCAGCUAUGCCGCGUGUAUGAAGAAGGCCUUAGGGUUGUAAAGUACUUUCAUCGGGGAGGAAAAACAAAACUAAUAAUUUUAUUUCUUGACGUUACCUGAAAAAGAAGCACCGGCUAACUCCGUGCCAGCAGCCGCGGUAAUACGGAGGGUGCUAGCGUUAAUCAGAAUUACUGGGCGUAAAGAGCACGUAGGUGGUUUUUUUAAGUUCAGAUGUGAAAUCCCUGGGCUUAACCUGGAACUGCAUUUUGAAACUGAAAUACUAGAGUAUCGUAGAGGGAGGUAGAAUUCUAGGUGUAGCGGUGAAAUGCGUAGAUAUCUGGAGGAAUACCUGUGGCGAAAGCGGCCUCCUAAACGAAUACUGACACUGAGGUGCGAAAGCGUGGGGAGCAAACAGGGAUUAGAUACC